rnacentral:lncRNA from 1 species
ACCUCAAUGUACUUUUCAUAAACAGUGUGGAAGCACCAUGCAAAUCCUAAUUUUUCUGUCACCGGUGCAAAGGAAUGUUGUUAAACAAACAGCUACAUUCUAAUUCUAAUUACUCGACCAUAAACAAACGAACUCAAUGGUUAGAUCCCACCAGAUUUCUUUGCCUUUGAAGCUUUUCCUGCCCCUCAUCCCAACAGUUUUAGUGCCAUCUCUUUUAGUCGUUUGGAGAUGGGGA